UCCAGGAAGCCUUGAUGGAGAGAGGCAGCUUUUCAACACGAAUGGCACUUCAACGGGCGCUUUGUAAAUGUUGCCAAGACGAGCCCUGGGAUAUUUUAAAGCCCUGCUAAUGGGAAGGAAGGGAACUGCACGCUGUGGAGACAUGGGGCAUGGGGCACGUUUCGGGUGCGCCCUGGUGAGAGCACCCCCAGCACAGCCCUGCGAGCCCUUAACAUGAAGGAAUUUAGACUUUGGGCAAGGUAGGUACUAGGUGUAAGCAGGGAGAAGGUUCUCGACCCUCCGGCCGGUGUAAAAGGUUUUUUCCUUUCCGUAAAGGGCCAACACCUUCCCCAGAGCCAGCACCGCCCCCGUGGUUCCUCGCCUCUGGUUAUCCAGCUCCCAGCCGGAUUAAUUAUUUAGGGUCAGAAUAUGAUUUAAGCACUCGAUCAUGGCGUGCUACCAUUGUUUGUGAUGCUACCCUUUGCCUGCCCUUCCCCUUCCCAUGGAAUAAGCUGGACACGGGGCCCCCCCGCCCACCACGGCUGUCGCGGAGGAGUCGCGUGGCUGAGUACCCCCCUGCUGUGUGUGUGUGCCCCAGAAACAAGAUACCUUGGGAAGGCCAUUUUAAGAAAGAGAUGUAAAAUACCAUUUUUUUUUCCCCCCACCAGACUGCUAUUGGCCAAAAUAUUGCAUUUUCUGGCUGCCUGUUCCCAGCUGGGACCCUGCCCAGAGGCCAGCUCCUGCAGCAGGGCGGAUGGCAGCUGCCCUCGCCAGUGGCUGGAGACCCUGGAAGACCAGCGAUGGUUUUCGGAAGGCAUCACGUUUCCCUGUCCUGCUCCUCCUGAGGGCUUACUCUUGCAGGACAAGCACACUGCUGCGCACACAGAGCUCUGCAGCUUUAGGAGACUUAAGGAUUCUCCGCACAUCGCUGCUCCGCGCCAGACCCUUGAUUGGGAUGCAGGGCUCCUCGCUGCCAGGCUUCUGUCUCUGGGCUGUGGCACACAUUGUGAGAAAGAUAAAACAGAAAUAAAGAUCUCUUGGCCAGCUGAAAGUAAUGCAAACUCAGAGCCAUUUGGCACCGGCCCUGGAUUUAGGCACAGACGCGUUCUUGACAAUUAG
rnacentral:lncRNA from 1 species